GGCCCGCACAAGCGGUGGAGUAUGUGGUUUAAUUCGACGCAACGCGCAGAACCUUACCCAGCCUUGACAUCCCUGGACCGCCAUAGAGAUAUGGCUUUCUCCUUCACGGGAGACCGGGUGACAGGUGCUGCAUGGCUGUCGUCAGCUCGUGUCGUGAGAUGUUCGGUUAAGUCCGGUAACGAGCGCAACCCCUAUCGUUAGUUGCCAUCAUUCAGUUGGGCACUCUAGCGAGACUCCCGGUGUUAAACCGGCGGAAGAUGGGGAUGACGUCAAGUCCUCAUGGCCCUUACGGCUGGGGCUACACACGUACUACAAUGGCGUCUACAAAGGGUCGCGAAACUGUGAAGUCAAGCCAAUCCCAAAAAGGCGCCUCAGUUCGGAUUGUAGUCUGCAACUCGACUACAUGAAGUUGGAAUCGCUAGUAA
rnacentral:rRNA from 1 species